UACGUAGGGUGCGAGCGUUAAUCGGAAUUACUGGGCGUAAAGGGCGCGUAGGUGGAUAAGUGAGUGAGAUGUGAAAUACCCGAGCUUAACUUGGGGAGGUCAUCUCAUACUGCUUGUCUAGAGUAUGGGAGAGGGAAGUGGAAUUUCUGGUGUAGCGGUGAAAUGCGUAGAUAUCAGAAGGAACACCCGUGGCGAAGGCGACUUCCUGGCCCAAUACUGACACCGAGGCGCGAAAGCGUGGGGAGCAAACAGG
rnacentral:rRNA from 1 species